rnacentral:rRNA from 1 species
UGGGGGAUCUUGCGCUAAUGCGCGAAAGCGUGACGCAGCGACGCCGCGUGGGGGAUGAAGGCCCUCGGGUUGUAAACCCCUUUCGGCAGGGACGAAGGGAUACUGACGGUACCUGCAGAAGAAGUCCCGGCUAACUACGUGCCAGCAGCCGCGGUAACACGUAGGGGACGAGCGUUGUCCGGAUUCAUUGGGCGUAAAGCGCGCGUAGGCGGCUCGGAAAGUCGGGCGUGAAAUGCCGGGGCUCAACCCCGGGACUGCGUCCGAUACUUCCGAGCUGGAGGUAGGUAGGGGAGAUCGGAAUUCCUGGUGUAGCGGUGAAAUGCGCAGAUAUCAGGAGGAACACCGGUGGCGAAGGCGGAUCUCUGGGCCUUACCUGACGCUGAGGCGCGAAAGCUAGGGGAGCGAACAGGAUUAGAUACCCUGGUAGUCCUAGCCGUAAACGUUGGGUGCUAGGUGUGGGCGGACAUCGACCCCGUCCGUGCCGAAGCUAACGCAUUAAGCA